rnacentral:lncRNA from 1 species
GGCUCGAACUCAUGAAAUGCAAGAUUGUAACCUGAGCCGAAUUCGGAUACUCAUGCAUCCUUACAUGGUUCUUAUCUUUUUUUUAGACUACUAUUUGAAGGGCAACUUGAAUGCAGUCUAGUCCCAGGACUAACGGGUCGGUUUUAAUGAAUCUACAAGCCUCCAAACUGCUGCAGAGAGCCCAGGAAAUGGAGGCCUUAGGUGGGAGGGGAGAGCUUUCUCUCCUGGUGAGUGGAGGGAGUCACUUCCAUGGUCAUCUGUCCACAUACACUUCCCACCUGGGCUGAGUUUGCUGUCAGAUCUGCCUGUCCAUCUGUCUGUCUGCCCAUCCAUCCACCUGGUGAGCACUAAUUAAGCACCAACUGUGUGCAUGGUUUUGGGAGGACACAAGGUAAUGUGGCUCAGUCCCUACCCGUGCAGGGCUCAGUGUCAUGGUGGGAAGGUCUUGUAGCAAAGCCUUGAAAACAGGCUGGAUGAUCUAGGAGCCUGGGACAGACUGGCAUCCCUUAAGACUGAAGGUGACAAGUUGCCAGAGUUUCUAAUGACACUUCAGUGGGGCGCUAGGAUGCCUCCAUGUUGGAUCAGGAACCUCGAGAUGAGAUGUCAUUUGGGAUGGGAAGUGAAAAAAGAGGUCACCCUUUGCUGGAGCCCAAAGCUGCAGUGAACCUGCUCCCGGACAAUGGAAUCUAACGAUCAUGGCAGUGGGAGGGUCACCCUUGCUAAGGGAGAGCCUCCUCUCUCUAAACCCCUGCCUAAGACCAUUGUAUUCUCUUGUGCAGCCCCUUCCACAACCCUACCCUCCCUCAAGAAAAAGAGAGUUAGGGUGAGGACACAGCCCAGGGUCACCUGACUGGAAAGAGGGGAGCUGGGACCUGAAUCUGGGCUCACUGACCCCUGCACUAGGGGAUGGGGCUUCUCUCUAGCAGGUGAGAGCAGAACCAGGGCACUAGCUUCCACAAAAUCCAGACUCUGCCAUCAGGCCGGGGAUGUAGUGUUUGAUCUUAACUAGGAAGAGAAAUUGCUGAGAAGGGCAAGGGUGUGCUAGCCCAGGGAGGCCUCUCGGUGAGCCCAAGUCCUUCUUGGUGCAGAAGACAGAAACCUGGAAGGAUUGGAGGACAUGGGACUUGAUGUCUAAUUACACUGACCCCAUCCUGUCUGCCCCCCCCCAAAAAAAAUUAAUGA